CAGUCGCCGCGGUAAUACGUAGGGUGCAAGCGUUAAUCGGAAUUACUGGGCGUAAAGCGUGCGCAGGCGGUUUGUUAAGACAGAUGUGAAAUCCCCGGGCUCAACCUGGGAACUGCAUUUGUGACUGGCAAGCUAGAGUAUGGCAGAGGGGGGUGGAAUUCCGCGUGUAGCAGUGAAAUGCGUAGAUAUGCGGAGGAACACCGAUGGCGAAGGCAGCCCCCUGGGCCAAUACUGACGCUCAUGCACGAAAGCGUGGGGAGCAAACAGGAUUAGAUACCCCCGUAGUCCCUGUCUCUUAUAA
rnacentral:rRNA from 1 species